GGCGGAGCAGAGCGGAACGUCAACGAACGCGAGUACGAUCGCGAGGCAGAUUUUGGAGAAAAUUCCGGGGAAUAAUGAUUCCAAUGCGUCGUACUCACAGGAUCGGUAUAUUUUCCAUGUUAAACGCACGGAUGGACUUACUGUUCUCUGUAUGGCGGAUGAUAGUGCUGGAAGGAGAAUCCCUUUCGCAUUUCUUGAAGAAAUUCACCAAAAAUUCGUGAGAACGUAUGGCCGAGCAGUUCUGUCUGCGCAAGCUUAUGGUAUGAAUGAUGAAUUUUCGAGGGUCCUUAGCCAGCAAAUGGAAUACUACUCCAGUGAUCCAAAUGCAGACAGAAUAAACAGGCUAAAGGGUGAAAUGAGUCAGGUGCGCACUGUCAUGGUUGAGAAUAUCGAUAAAGUUCUAGAGAGAGGUGAUCGCUUGGAAUUGCUGGUCGAUAAAACAGCUAAUAUGCAAGAGAAUACUUUCCGCUUCAGAAAGCAGGCUCGCCGGUUCAGAAGCACUGUAUGGUGGAGAAAUGUCAAACUCACGGUGGCUCUGAUAUUCCUCCUCCUAGUGAUAAUAUAUGUUAUUUUGGCUUUCGCUUGUCAUGGACUUACACUUCCAACUUGUUUGAAGUGAGGAUUACUGGAUCAGCAUCACAUCUUUUGUCCUUAAAACAUUAUUUUGCAAUUUUUUUCAUCUAAAUCAAUCUUGGGGUAAAGCUUGGAUGUGUGUUUUGGCAUGGAUUUCAUCCUUGAUAUGUAUUAAUCGUGUGAUAUCCUUAAGCUUAUAAGCAAGCCAAAACUCUUGGUUUGAUAAUGUAGAUUGUAUUUAUAUAUAAUUUUGAC
rnacentral:misc_RNA from 1 species